AACAGCUUUUUUUUACUAGUGUCAACGCCUCCCUGAGGACAUAGCCACGGUUCCCGUGUCACCCAAUGAAGAGCGAGAGAAAUUUUACUGCAGCUUGGAGAAAAAAGGCCUCACAGUCUCCCACACUCCUUCUGCCCGGCCAAGCCAGUCAAGCACCCCUGAGUCCAAGCCAGUCAAGCACCCCUGAGUCCAAGCCAGUCAAGCACCCCUGAGUCCAAGCCAGUCAAGCACCCCUGAGUCCAAGCCAGUCAAGCACCCCUGAGUCCAAGCCAGUCAAGCACCCCUGAGUCCAAGCCAGUCAAGCACCCCUGAGUCCAAGCCAGUCAAGCACCCCUGAGUCCAAGCCAGUCAAGCACCCCUGAGUCUUCAGAAAUGAUCUCCCGGGUGCAGAUACUGCUUCAAAGCAUCUUUGUCGUCGACGCUGAGAUUCUGGAGAGCCCACCUCUCGACGGCCUCUAUUGCAUCUUUGUUGUUGAAUGGUUCCUGCUGAAAUCUAACAAUAUGGUGGUGAGAAUUGUUAGCAUGGAUGGAUAAGACACCAAAUCUAUGUAAACACAAAUAAAAGCUCAGUUUGCAUGGGUAACUUACUUUUCAUGAAGCCUGUGCAGGUCCUGGUUCGGAUUUGUUAUCGGUUUUCCCGUUGUGGAAAGGAAAAAACGAUUCUCAGCGCCUGACUCCGCUUUCAGCAAUGUGUGUCGUAUGCACCGGAAGUAAAUGUCGAAUAGCUGUAAAGACUUAUCGUUGAUUUCCAUUUUCAGCUUCUUCAGAAUUCUAAGAAAGACCUCGGAAGCCUCUCUGUUGUUCUCAUUGAUCUCAUCCGUAAAGUCGGCAGACACCACGUACUUGGCAAAGUUGCCUAUAUGAAUGAUAUAGUUUUUUACCGUUC